rnacentral:rRNA from 1 species
AACGAACGCUGGCGGCAGGCUUAACACAUGCAAGUCGAGCGCCCCGCAAGGGGAGCGGCAGACGGGUGAGUAACGCGUGGGAACGUACCCUUUGCUACGGAAUAGCUCCGGGAAACCGGAAUUAAUACCGUAUGUGCCCUACGGGGGAAAGAUUUAUCGGCAAAGGAUCGGCCCGCGUUGGAUUAGCUAGUUGGUGGGGUAAUGGCCUACCAAGGCGACGAUCCAUAGCUGGUCUGAGAGGAUGAUCAGCCACAUUGGGACUGAGACACGGCCCAAACUCCUACGGGAGGCAGCAGUGGGGAACAUUGGACAAUGGGCGCAAGCCUGAUCCAGCCAUGCCGCGUGAGUGAUGAAGGCCUUAGGGUUGUAAAGCUCUUUCACCGGAGAAGAUAAUGACGGUAUCCGGAGAAGAAGCCCCGGCUAACUUCGUGCCAGCAGCCGCCGUAAAAC